CCUUUCUCCAUUCCCCAGCUGAUCCUCUGGGCCAUCUGUAAAGGGAUUACAGCUCUGUCAUGAGCCAAACCACACACACACACACACACACACACACCAACUGACAUGUGUGUCCUCCCUUAUGAAGAGGUAAAUGAAAGAGGAGAUGAGCUGACUGCCAUUAGUGGAUCCUUCUGGAAAUAAAGAGCGAGGUGGAGGAGGAGGAGAGGAGGAGAGGAGGUGCGUGUGAUAGUGGUGAUGGAUAUUAGGAGGAGAGCAGGGAAAUAAAGAGCGAGGUGGAGGUGGAGGAGGAGGAGAGGAGGUGCGUGUGAUAGUGGUGAUGGAUAUUAGGAGGAGAGCAGGG